GACAGAGGUGCCGAGCGUUAGGCGGAAUCACUGGGCUUAAAGCGUGUGUAGGCGGGCCGUUAAGUGUCUUGUGGAAUCCCCCGGCUCAACCGGGGAAUUGCUGGGCAUACUGGCGGUCUUGAGCGAUCUAGGGGCAGAUGGAACAAGUGGUGGAGCGGUGAAAUGCGUAGAUAUCACUUGGAACGCCAAAGGUGAAGACAGUCUGCUGGGGAUCUGCUGACGCUGAGACACGAAAGCCAGGGGAGCGAACGGG
rnacentral:rRNA from 1 species